rnacentral:rRNA from 1 species
GACCAUGCCUAAGUCUCUUGGAAAAGAGCAUCAUAGAGGGUGAUAAUCCCGUACAUGGCAUGGAGCGCCCGAGACUUUGUGAUACGCUUUCUAAGAGUCGAGUUGUUUGGGAAUGCAGCUCAAAAUGGGUGGUAAAUGCCAUCUAAGGCUAAAUAUUGGGGAGAGACCGAUAGCGAACAAGUACAGUGAUGGAAAGAUGAAAAGAACUUUGAAAAGAGAGUUAAACAGUACGUGAAAUUGCCAAAAGGGAAGGGUAGGAGGUCAGAGAUGCGUUCUGGGAUUCAGCCUUGCUUUUGCUUGGUGUUUUUCCCAGAUGGCAGGCCAACGUCGGUUUUGGGCGCUGGAGAAGGGUGGAAGGAAUGUGGCACCUCUCGGGGUGUGUUAUAGCCUUCUACUGGAUACAGUGACCGAGACCGAGGACAGCA